CCUCAGAGGAAACUUGGGAAGCUUCAAGGAUUGUUCGUGUCUUCACUCUUCUUAAACAUUGCCUGUGUUUUCCAGCCACAGACCGCCCACGUCCACGUCAAGAGGGAAGCAGCUUCACCCCUGCUGCUUCCUCACCUGCGGGUGAUUAGUGAUGACGUGUCUCACCUGCUGCUAAUGAGCACCUGAGGACUAUUUCAGUUGUCAUGCUCUUUGGACUCUUCUUACUCGCAUGUCCCUGAUGGACCCCUGAUGGACCCCUGAUGGGCCCCCAUGCCAGACUUUGGUCACCUCUGGUCUCUGAUGUCCCGACUCUGCAGUGAAGUCGUGCCAAUUCAGAGCUUCCUUCAAACAUAGCCUCCUUUUUGUUGGCUCAACCGCUGCCGUAUCCUUCUUGGCCUCCCGUAUCCUUCUUGGCCUCCCGUAUCCUUCUUGGCCUCCCGUAUCCUUCUUGGCCUCCCAGCAGAAAGCUUCUCCGAGAUGUUAUCCAACUUGCGAUUCAACUCAGAAAUGGCCCCAAAGUCUGAGUGCCGGCGCUCUGCCCCGCCCCCUCCAUCAGGAAGGGUGGUCCCUCGGCUCCUUGAAUGACUGACAUUAUCUUCCAGAGCAGCGGCCAAUCAAAUGGUGCAGAUUUCAAACAGAAACAUCUUCAAUGCGCCGUUGUGGACACUGUGGGGGUGACUUUGAAGGGGAGCCGGAUGAUGAGCGCUAACGAGGGUCCGGAGCGCCUCCGGGGGAAGACGGCGGGCGGCUCCGAGGGCCCAGCCGGGGCCCAGCCGGGGCCACUAAUGGGACGGGAGGAUGCUCGGCCUAAAUUUGCAUGUGUAAAAAGCCGAGGGCAGCUUUGGAUGAGAAGAAAACAGAGGAGGAGGAAGCGUGAAUAUGAAUAUGAAGGCGUGGAAAACGCUGCCUUCAGGUGCGACGCUAAUUAACAAGAAAGUUUUUGUCUGAAGAGGAGAAGAAGAAGAAGAAGAAGAUCUCAGGGCGAGAGAGAGAGAGAGAGAGCUUACGUUCCAAACUCCCCAAAGAUUGCCUUCAAAGGCGCUUAAACGCAUCACAAGUCAGCAAAUAAUAAUAAUAAUAAGAAGGCCUCAGUGCUGCAGGCCGCAAUGAAGGAAGGAAGGAAGGAAGGAAGGAAAGAAGGAUGCUGCACUAAACACUUCUUUUGCUUUUCUUGCCACUGCAAGCAUCCUAUUCAUUUUCAAUCACCUUUGCUGUUCAACAAUAUGCUUGACAACAGCUUGCAGGAGUCCCUUUGGUUAGUUAAUUAGGGACAAUUUAACACUGUGGCAAACCCACGGCUCGCAGGCCACAUCAUUUUAUAUGGACCAUAACAUCAAUUAAUAUAACCUGCCACAUCAUUUUACAUGGCCCAUAACAUCAUUUUACAUGGCCCAUAACAUCAUUUUAAAUGGCCCAUAACAUCAUUUUAAAUGGCCCAUAACAUGAUUUUACAUGGCCCAUAACAUCAUUUUAUAUGGCCCAUAACAUAAUUUUAUAUUGCCUGCCACAUAAUUUUACAUGGCCCAUAACAUCAUUUUAUAUGGCCCAUAACAUGAUUUUAUAUGGCCCAUAACAUCAUUUUAUAUGGACCAUAACAUCAAUUAAUAUAACCUGCCACAUCAUUUUACAUGGCCCAUAACAUCAUUUUAUAUGGCCCAUAACAUCAUUUUACAUGGCCCAUAACAUCAUUUUAAAUGGCCCAUAACAUAAUUUUAUAUUGCCUGCCACAUAAUUUUAUAUGGCCCAUAACAUCAUUUUAAAUGGCCCAUAACAUAAUUUUAUAUUGCCUGCCACAUAAUUUUAUAUGGCCCAUAACAUCAUUUUAUAUGGACCAUAACAUCAAUUAAUAUAACCUGCCACAUCAUUUUAUAUGGACCGCCACAUCAUUUUAUAUGGCCCGCCACAUUAUUUUAUAUGACCUACCACAUCAUUUUACAUGGCCCAUAACAUAAUUUUAUAUGGCCCAUAACAUCAUUUUGUAUGGCCCAUAACAUCAUUUUGUAUGGCCCAUAACAUCAUUUUAUAGGGCCCGUCACAUCAUUUUAUAUAACCUGCCACAUCAUUCUAUAUGGCCUGCCCCUUCAUUUUAUAUGGACCAUAACAUCAAUUAAUAUAACCUGGCACAUCAUUUUAUAUGGACCGCCACAUCAUUUUAUAUGGCCUGUCACAUCAUUUUAUAUGGCCCAUAACAUCAUUUUAUAUGGCACAUAACAUCAUUUUAUAUGGCCUGCCACAUCAUUUUAUAUGGCCCGCCACAUCAUUUUAUAUGGCCCGCCACAUCAUUUUAUAUGGCCCGCUACAUCAUUUUAUAUGACCUACCACAUAAUUUUAUAUGACCUACCACAUAAUUUUAUAUGGCCAAUAACAUAAUUUUAUAUGGACCGUCACAUCAUUUUAUAUGACCUGCCACAUCAUUUAAAAUGGCCCAUAACAUCAUAUUAUAUGGACCGUCACAUCAUUUUAUAUGGCCCGCAACUUUGUUUUAUAUGACCUGCAACAUCAUUUUAUAUGGCCCGCCACAUCAUUUUAUAUGACCUACCACAUCAUUUUAUAUGGCCAAUAACAUCAUUUUAUAUGGACCGUCACAUCAUUUUAUAUGGCCCAUAACAUCAUUUUAAAUGGCCCAUAACAUCAUUUUAUAUAACCUGCCACAUAAUUUUAUAUGGACCAUAACAUCAUUUUAUAUGGACCGUCGUUUCAUUUUAUAUGGGACAUAACAUCAUUUUAUAUGGACCUACCACAUCAUUUAAAUGGCCCGUCACAUCAUUUUAUAUGGCCCAUAGCAUCAUUUUAUAUGGCCCGCCACAACAUUUUAUAAGGCCCAUAACAUCAUUUUAUAGGGCCCGUCACAUCAUUUUAAAUGGCUUAUAACAUCAUUUUAUAUGGACCAUCACAUCAUUUUACAUGGCCCACCACUUCAUUUUUAAAUGGCCCAUAACAUCAUUUUAUAUGGCCCAUAACCUUAUUUUUUAGGGCCCGUCACAUCAUUUUAUAUAACCUGCCACAUCAUUUUAUAUGGCCCGCCACAUCAUUUUAUAUGGACCAUCACAUCAUUUUAUAUGGACCGUCACAUCAUUUUACAUGGCCCAUUACAUCAUUUUACAUGGCCCGCCACAUCAUUUUAUAUGGCCCAUAACACCUUUUUACAUUGCCCGCCACAUCAUUUUGUAUGGCCCAUAACAUACUUUUAUAUGGACCGUCACAUCAUUUUAUAUGACCUGCCACGUCAUUUUAAAUGGCCCGUCACAUAAUUCUAUAUGGCCCAUAACAUCGUUUUAAAUGGCCUACCACAGCAUCUUAUAUGGCCCAUCACAUCAUUUUAUAUGGCCUACCACAGCAUUUUAUAUGGCCCGUAACAUCAUUUUAUAUGGACCGCCACUUCAUUUUACAUGGCCCAUAAGAUUUUUUUAUAUGGCCCGUCACGCCCGCCAGAUCAUUUUAUAUGUCCUGUCACGCCCGCCACUUCAUUUUAUAAGGUCCGCCACAUCAUUUUAUAUGGCCCGCUAUGUCAUUUUAUUUGGCCCGCCACUUCAUUUUAUUUGGCCCGCCACGCCCAUCACUUCAUUUUACUUGGCCCACCACGCCCACCACUUCAUUUUACUUGGUCCGUCACUUCAUUUUAUAUGGCCUGCCACAUCAUUUGACUUGGUGCGCCACAUCAUUUUAUAUGGCCCGCUAUGUCAUUUUAUUUGGCCCGCCACUUCAUUUUAUUUGGCCCGCCACGCCCAUCACUUCAUUUUACUUGGCCCACCACGCCCACCACUUCAUUUUACUUGGUCCGUCACUUCAUUUUAUAUGGCCCGCCACAUCAUUUGACUUGGUGCGCCACAUCAUUUUAUAUGGCCCGUCACGUAAUUUUACAUGGCCUGCCAUGCCCGCCACUUCCUUUUAUAUGGUCCGCCACAUCGUUUUAUAUGGCCCGUCACAUCAAUUUAAAGGGCCCGCAAAAGUCUGGAAAUAAUAUUUGUCAAUAAAGUACGUGACCUUUUCUUACUAAAUGUUCUUUCCACUUUUAAAGAAAAAACAUGGCCUGCAUAAAUUUGUACAACUUUACUAAACUUCAAUAUUAUCUCAGAUGGCAACUUUUAUUAUAUUAUAAUACAUUUGUGUCUAAUUCAAAUGGAUGCUUACUAUAAAUAUCUGUUAUGUCCAUCUAACU